rnacentral:rRNA from 1 species
GCCCGCUCAGAAACUACAAAGGAAGUUGACGGGGCCCGCACAAGCGGUGGAGUAUGUGGUUUAAUUCGAUGCAACGCGAAGAACCUUACCUGGUCUUGACAUCCCGGAGACCCUUAGGAAACUAGGGGUGCUUCCAUCUGGAAGAAUCUGGAGACAGGUGCUGCAUGGCUGUCGUCAGCUCGUGUCGUGAGAUGUUGGGUUAAGUCCCGCAACGAGCGCAACCCUUGCCUUUAGUUGCCAGCAGUUCGGCUGGGCACUCUAAAGGGACUGCCGGUGUUAAACCGGAGGAAGGUGGGGAUGACGUCAAGUCCUCAUGGCCUUUAUGACCAGGGCUACACACGUACUACAAUGGCCGAUACAAAGGGCAGCGACACUGCGAGGUGAAGCCAAUCCCGUAAAAUCGGUCUCAGUCCGGAUUGGAGUCUGCAACUCGACUCCAUGAAGUUGGAAUCGCUAGUAAUCGUGGAUCAGCAUGCCACGGUGAAUACGUUCCCGGGCCUU